UACAGGGGGGGCAAGCGUUGUUCGGAAUUACUGGGCGUAAAGGGCUCGUAGGCGGCCAACUAAGUCAGACGUGAAAUCCCUCAGCUUAACUGGGGAACUGCGUCUGAUACUGGAUGGCUUGAGUUUGGGAGAGGGAUGCGGAAUUCCAGGUGUAGCGGUGAAAUGCGUAGAUAUCUGGAGGAACACCGGUGGCGAAGGCGGCAUCCUGGACCAACACUGACGCUGAGGAGCGAAAGCCGGGGGAGCAAACAGG
rnacentral:rRNA from 1 species